rnacentral:rRNA from 1 species
AUUGAACGCUGGCGGCAUGCUUUACACAUGCAAGUCGAACGGUAACAGGCCGCAAGGUGCUGACGAGUGGCGAACGGGUGAGUAAUGCAUCGGAACGUGCCCAGUCGUGGGGGAUAACGCAGCGAAAGCUGCGCUAAUACCGCAUACGAUCUAUGGAUGAAAGCGGGGGACCGAAAGGCCUCGCGCGAUUGGAGCGGCCGAUGUCAGAUUAGGUAGUUGGUGGGGUAAAGGCCCACCAAGCCAACGAUCUGUAGCUGGUCUGAGAGGACGACCAGCCACAUUGGGACUGAGACACGGCCCAGACUCCUACGGGAGGCAGCAGUGGGGAAUUUUGGACAAUGGGCGCAAGCCUGAUCCAGCCAUUCCGCGUGCAGGAAGAAGGCCUUCGGGUUGUAAACUGCUUUUGUACGGAACGAAACGCGCUGAGCUAAUACCUCGGCGUAAUGACGGUACCGUAAGAAUAAGCACCGGCUAACUACGUGCCAGCCGCCGCCGUAAUAC